AGGGGUGCAGCUCAGUGGUAGAGCACGUGCUUGCUGCGCACAGGGUCCUGGGUGCAAUCCCCAGUGCCUCUG
rnacentral:tRNA from 1 species